UACAGAGGUCUCAAGCGUUGUUCGGAUUCAUUGGGCGUAAAGGGUGCGUAGGCGGCGCGGUAAGUCGGGUGUGAAAUUUCGAGGCUUAACUUCGAAACUGCAUUCGAUACUGCCGUGCUUGAGGACUGGAGAGGAGACUGGAAUUUACGGUGUAGCGGUGAAAUGCGUAGAUAUCGUAAGGAAGACCAGUGGCGAAGGCGGGUCUCUGGACAGUUCCUGACGCUGAGGCACGAAGGCCAGGGGAGCAAACGGGAUUAGAUACCCCGGUAGUCCUGGCAAUAAACGGUGCACGUUUGGUGUGGGAGGAUUCGACCCCUUCUGCGCCGGAGCUAACGCGUUAAACGUGCCGCCUGGGGAGUACGGUCGCAAGAUUA
rnacentral:rRNA from 1 species